GGGGAAUAUUGCACAACGGAGGGAACUCUGAUGCAGCGACGCCGCGUGAACGAAGAAGGCUUUCGAGUCGUAAAGUUCUUUUAUAUGGGAAGAUAAUGACGGUACCAUAAGAAAAAGCCCCGGCUAACUAUGUGCCAGCAGCCGCGGUAAUACGUAGGGGGCUAGCGUUGUCCGGAAUCACUGGGCGUAAAGGGUUCGCAGACGGAAAUGCAAGUCAGAUGUAAAAGGCAGUAGCUUAACUACUGUAAGCAUUUGAAACUGCAUAUCUUGAGAAGAGUAGAGGUAAGUGGAAUUUUUAGUGUAGCGGUGAAAUGCGUAGAUAUUAAAAAGAAUACCGGUGGCGAAGGCGACUUACUGGGCUCAUUCUGACGCUGAGGAACGAAAGCGUGGGUAGCAAACAGGAUUAGAUACCCUGGUAGUCCACGCUGUAAACGAUGAGUGCUAGGUGUCGGCGAAUGUCGGUGCCGCAGUUAACACAAUAAGCACUCCGCCUGGGGAGUACGUGCGCAAGCAUG
rnacentral:rRNA from 1 species